rnacentral:rRNA from 1 species
ACUCAAAUGAAUUGACGGGGGCCCGCACAAGCGGUGGAGCAUGUGGUUCAAUUCGACGCAACGCGAAGAACCUUACCAGGCCUUGACAUCCCGGUCGCGGCCUCUUGAAAGAGAGGCCUUCAGUUCGGCUGGACCGGUGACAGGUGCUGCAUGGCUGUCGUCAGCUCGUGUCGUGAGAUGUUGGGUUAAGUCCCGCAACGAGCGCAACCCUCGCCCUUAGUUGCCAUCAUUCAGUUGGGCACUCUAAGGGGACUGCCGGUGAUAAGCCGCGAGGAAGGUGGGGAUGACGUCAAGUCCUCAUGGCCCUUACGGCCUGGGCCACACACGUGCUACAAUGGCGGUGACAAUGGGCAGCAAAGGCGCGAGCCCGAGCUAAUCUCAAAAAGCCGUCUCAGUUCGGAUUGCACUCUGCAACUCGGGUGCAUGAAGUUGGAAUCGCUAGUAAUCGCAGAUCAGCACGCUGCGGUGAAUACGUUCCCGGGCCUUGUACACACCGCCCGU